rnacentral:lncRNA from 1 species
GAGGUUGGGUGAGAAAGAGACGUGUUUCAUCAUUAUCAAGCAGGUACAAUAGCCCCAAGGGGGCAAGGCUGAAGAGGUUAGGAUGAGAAAAAAAUCGUAUAAAAGGAGCGAGAGAAAGCGACUGAAAGCAGUUGAGAGAGUACCACCGACACGGCAACAACUGCAGUGCUCCAUCUGUCACCAACUGCGUUCCUCAUCGUGUAACAUAUACGUAAUCACGGUUAACCAUGGAGUUGUGCUGCUGUUGGGUGUUGUAUCGUUGAUGGCUGGGUCGAAUACGAGGUUACCGAAUACCGAUGUCUCCUGAGUGGUGAAUAUCAAUUAUCAAGCAACAGCAGCCCAAGAAUAGUACACGACGUUGCCGCCUUAACACACAAUAACGUCAACAUACGCAACACCUAUCCUACUUACACUACUGAGCGUUAACUUGUUAAGUACUACACCACCAAGGCUCCAGAGUACUACACGAAAACUGACUACGCUGCUCUACCUUACUGUAAUGAUUCACCGAAGUACUAUUCUGAUCAUAGCGACUACACCGAAGAUGCAACUUACUACACCACCAAAGCAGUUGAGUACUACACCAAAGCGUCCAAGUACUACACUGCAACCUACUGCAGCGCACUAUUUGUCAUUAACUGCCUUCUUCGUCGUAUGCAAUCAGUUGGCAAUCAUUGGUAUGGCGGUGUGCUGCUGUUGGGUGUUGCAUCGUUGAUGGCUGGGUCGACCACUGGUGUAACAAUGUCCCCUGAGAAUGGUGGGUAGCAAACCGCAACACCGCCGCAUUACUACACAACAACCUACUUAAAGACCGAGGCCCUCAAUUACUACACCACUAAGGCAAAGGAUACUACACCGAGGCCCAUUAUUACUACAACACCGAAGCGCUCAAGUACUGCACUGCUACCCACACUGCCCGAGCAACUACACCGAAGCCAGAAGAGCCGAAGCCGAAGAGACCAAAUACUACACUGCAACCUACGCUGCCCCAGCUUACACCAGCAAGGCAGCGGAGUACUACACCAGCAAGGCAGCGGAGUACUACACCAGCAAGGCAGCGGAGUACUACACCAGCAAGGCAGCGGAGUACUACACC